rnacentral:rRNA from 1 species
UAUGUGAUCGUCUCUCGCAUAUCAAUAAGCGGAGGAAAAGAAACUAACAAGGAUUCCCUUAGUAACGGCGAGUGAAGCAGGGAAGAGCUCAAAUUUGAAAUCUUCAAGGUUUUACCUUGACGAAUUGUAGUUUAAAGAAGUGUUUUCUGUUGAAGUUUUGGUAAAAGUUCUUUGGAAUAGGACAUCAUAGAGGGUGAGAAUCCCGUAUUUGACCAUUAUUUUCAGCUGUGUGAUACACUUUCAAAGAGUCGGAUUGUUUGGGAAUGCAGUCCAAAAUGGGUGGUAAAUUUCAUCUAAAGCUAAAUAUUGGCGAGAGACCGAUAGCGAACAAGUACCGUGAGGGAAAGAUGAAAAGAACUUUGAAAAGAGAGUUAAACAGUACGUGAAAUUGUCAAAAGGGAAGCGUUUGACACCAGUGUUGUUUUCUCGAAAAUCAAUUAAAAAGAGUUAGAUUUUGUUGUGUAUUGACCUUAACAGCUUGCAUUUCAAUUUUCUUGCUUUUUUUAAUGCACUUUUCGUUUAACAAGUCAACAUCAGUUUCUUUUGUUGUAAAAAGGUCAUUGGAAGGUGGCUUUCUUUUCGGAGAAAGUGUUUAUAGCCUUUGACUCCUGCAAUCGGAGAGACUGAGGUCUGCAGCGUAGAUCCUUCGGGGUUAGAUACAUUUGUGCUAAGUUAUAGCUUUUUAUAGACAACUUGUUGACUAUGAUUAGUCUUGUAGCUUACUCGCUUAUGCUAUUUUACCUACGCUUAGGAUGUUGAAGAUGUAGCACAUCAU